rnacentral:miRNA from 1 species
CCUUGUCAUUCUUCAGGCCCUG